rnacentral:rRNA from 1 species
UACAGAGGGGGCAAGUGUUGUUCGGAAUUAUUGGGCGUAAAGGGCGCGUAGGCGGUGUGGCAAGUCAGGUGUGAAACCUCCAGGCUCAACUUGGAGCUUGCAUCUGAAACUGCCGUGCUAGAGCGUGGGAGAGGAGAGUGGAAUUCCUGGUGUAGCGGUGAAAUGCGUAGAUAUCAGGAGGAACACCGGUGGCGAAGGCGGCUCUCUGGACCACAACUGACGCUGAGGCGCGAAAGCUAGGGGAGCAAACAGG